AGUGAACGCUGGCGGUAUGCCUAACACAUGCAAGUCGAACGGCAGCACAGUAAUAGCUUGCUCUUACGGGUGGCGAGUGGCGGACGGGUGAGGAAUACAUCGGAAUCUACUUUUUCGUGGGGGAUAACGUAGGGAAACUUACGCUAAUACCGCAUACGACCUACGGGUGAAAGCAGGGGAUCUUCGGACCUUGCGCGAUUGAAUGAGCCGAUGUCGGAUUAGCUAGUUGGCGGGGUAAAGGCCCACCAAGGCGACGAUCCGUAGCUGGUCUGAGAGGAUGAUCAGCCACACUGGAACUGAGACACGGUCCAGACUCCUACGGGAGGCAGCAGUGGGGAAUAUUGGACAAUGGGCGCAAGCCUGAUCCAGCCAUACCGCGUGGGUGAAGAAGGCCUUCGGGUUGUAAAGCCCUUUUGUUGGGAAAGAAAAGCAGCAGGUUAAUACCCCGCUGUUCUGACGGUACCCAAAGAAUAAGCACCGGCUAACUUCGUG
rnacentral:rRNA from 1 species